AAGAAAAACACCAAACGAACCCUUAAGUCCAAAAUCUUUCAACGCCAAUUUCAAAUUCUCCAGCUGUCUUCUCUAUUUUCGGCUAAGGUCCAGUGACUUUAAGCUUUCGCAGUCGUUGCUGGCCUAUUUCAAGUAAAGAAUUUAUGGGUUUUGUUUUCUUCCUCAAAAAGAGGAUAAUUUUCAUCGGUAAUAAUUGUUUUCUUCAAAUAUGAUUUAGCUUUUAUCUUUUUCUUUUCUAAUAUAAUCAGUGGACUGAAAAACGAAUUUCAAGUCCGGAUUUUGUCCCACAUCGUUUCAAAAUGAAAAAACCCUAGCAUUUGGGGAUCUAUAAAUAGAACCCUCAAUUCUCAUUCAUACACGAUUUUUUUUUUUUGGAGAUCAAAAAUUGGUUUUUACACCAAUAGUGGGUUUUUCACAACUCCAAGAGUGAGAACACUCAGAAAUCCGGCUAAGCCAUGAGUUUCGAGGACGUUCUCGCUCAUGUUUAAUUUUUUGGAAGUCGUUUUAAUCGAUUCGGGUGAAAGAUAGUUCGUCGUCAACCCUCGUUGCCCCGUCACUGCUCAGCAAAAAGAGUACUUUGGUUCUGAGGUUCAGCGGAAAGACAAGGCAAAAGAGUGAGCUGUUGGUGUUGCGGCUCGGCCAUCCAGGUAAGUUAUGGCUUACCCUUGGUGAGACUUCGUAUAGCGAAGCGCAUAUUUAAAUUAUAUUGUCGGAGACAGUAUGUGAACCUUCGGGUAUGAAGUUGGGUUGGAUAUUGCCUUAGGUUAGGCCCUAUUGUGUGUUGGGACUAGCCACCCCGUUGUGUUGUGUUUGAUUAUUUUACUGUGUUGGCUUGACGCCGUGAAUUAUUGAUAGAUAUUGGAUUCUGUUUAUCGUCUUGGUUCGAUAUUGUUUGUAUACUCACUGUUGGUAUUUGUGAUUCAGAUAUAUUGUUGGCAUACCCACUAUUGGUAUUGGUGAUUCGGAUAUAUUGUUGGCAUACCUAUUGUUGGUAUUUGUGAUUCUGAUAUAUUGUUAAUGUGCCUAUCAUAGGUAUUUGUGAUAUUAAGCAUAAUUGUUGAUGUUGAUAAAUGCAUUGCACGCACUCUCAUUUUCAUGAUACAUUGUUGAGAUAUUGAUGGCAUUGAUGAAAAACUGAUGAGCGGGGCUCGGUUUUAUUUGAGUAAUGUGAGAGGCCGAUGUCCGAUGUUCAUCCUGGAAUCAUUGAUUGACUGAAAUAGAUACUUGAUAAAACUCUUUUACUUGAGUGACGUGAAAGUCCGAUGUUCAUUGAUCAAUUCCGGAAUCGUUGAUUGUAUGGCCCAUAUGCGAUGUUUGUUCCGGAAUCAUUGAUAAAGCAUGGACUCCGCAGGUCCCCCAGGGUGGUGCCGAUGAGAACCCCCCGUGGGAAAAGAUCCGGGGUCCCGUCUGUCUGUUGGAUAAAGAUCCGGGACGGGUGGCACUUAUACUUCGCAAGUCACGUUGGGUUGUGCUACCGAGACGUCGAUAUUUUUGUCCGGAGUACAUGUGUACAUCACAUUUGCUUGGCACUGCAUUGUAUUCAUACACUACUGCAUUGCAUUGCAUCAUGAAUUGAUUAAGAUGUUUGGUGUUGUAUUGCGAUGAUUGGAUUGGAUUGGAUAUGUUCGGACUUGGCACAUUUGGGAUCAGAUGCUUUACAUAGGCGAUGAUGGAUACUUGAAUUUGAUUACAUUGACUUGUACUUGUUGGUUUAUUUGCUAAUCUGUUUAUUUUCUGAGUUGUGUUAGCUAUGCCUAGUCGGCCGAUGAUGCCUACCAGUACUGUUGUUUGUACUGACCUGCACUUGCAGCAUUCUUUUAUGAAUGCAGAGUAUCAGGUUGGAUCCACUUCUGUGACACGUGGUUGAUAGUCACUUCAGCUUCCUCUUCGAGUCUCCAGGGUACAGACGCACAGUUUGGUGAUCCACCAGUUUAGGACACCCUCUUCUGCUGUAUGGAGUGCUCCUCUUAUUCCGGAGCCUACAUUUUGGUAUAUAUCUUCGUUCGUUGCAUAUGUAUAUAUUUGUUCAGGGGUACGGCGGGGCCCUGUCCCGCCAUAUGAUUCGGUUGGUCUGUUUAGAAGUCUGUAGACGUAUACGUGGGUUGUGCCUACUUCUUUUCAGGUGUGUUUGUAUGAUCACACUCGCCAUGGAAGCCUCAUCGGCGUGCAUUUGUAUAUGUUUUGGGUCGUUGUGCCAUUUGAUAGCCUAGUCGGCUUCUGAUAUAUAUGUACAUAUAUGGUUGUGUUUGAAAUGUGUCUGAGACAGUUUGAUAUGAUUUGUGGCAGCGCGUGAUAUUUGUGCCCGUAUACGCUAUUUGUAUGCGAUUCGGAAUUGAUGAGUGUGUUCGGGUGCCCAGUUCGGGCACUAGUCACGGCCUACGGGGUUGGGUCGUGACAAGAUUAACGUGUAAAAAGGGCUUGUUCGGACACCACGAGUAGAGGUUCGGCAUUAAAGGUAUGUAGGGCUUAUUGCUUACCUUUCUUUCUUUUGGCAUGAUGUUUGAAAGUGACACAAAAUCGUGAUAUCCAUACAUAAUGAUUCCACUCUUAAUAUUUAGAUGUUCUCUGUUGAUUCCCUAUUCCGAAAAAGUAUUGAUCCAUAAAGAAGUUCAUAAGUCACAAGUUCACGAGUCGUAUAGAGACUGAUGAGCUGAGUAUCCCAUAGAUGGAUUGCAUACAUGCACAUAUAAAGAUAUACUAUAUACAUGAAAUUUCCCACAGAGGCCUACGACGCUAUACACGCGAUAUAGUAUAUACAUGAAAUUGCCCACCGAGGCCUACAACGCUAUAGACGCGAUAUACUAUAUAUAUAAGAGAUUGCCCGCAGAGGCAUACGACGCUAUAGACACUAUUAUUAUGCAUUGUGAUAUACUUAUAACGUUUGUACAUUAAUGAGGCAGGUGGUAUCUCUAUUUUCUUUGAGUUAUUGCUGUUGUUUCAGUUGUUGUUCAUGCCCAACCUAUUCAGUACAUCUUUUGUACUGAUGUCCCUUCUGGGGCACUGCGUUUCAUGCCUACAGUUACGGAUAGACAUGGUGAUGCACCCCUUCCCCAGUAGGAGUUGAUCAGUUGUGUUGGUGUUGUGCUCUUUUCUUUCUGGAGCUGUUGUGUUAAAGUCUAGGUACUUGCAUAUGCUACUUACAUUUUGAGGUA